rnacentral:rRNA from 1 species
AUGGGUCCGGAUAUGUGCGUGCGUAAGCUGGUGCUGUGCCCGGACGGCCUGAUCGCCGCAAUUGUCGGACGCGAACACUUCGCCAAGGUCGCGCUCUGCACGCUCGAGUGCUUCUCGUGGUCGCUCGGCGCGGACGACAAGUGGCGGUGGUACGAGGACUUGAUCUACUACGAGGGGAAGCUCUACGCCAUCACCAACAGCGGGGAACCCCUCGCGUUCGAUGUCGGCUACGAGAACACCGGCGAGCCCAAGAUCUCCGCUGUCGAGACCGUCAUCGAAGGCUGUGGCUACGUCGGCGUGGGGGUGAUGAACUACCUCGUCAAAUCACGCAGCGGCGCGCUACUCAUGGUCAACAGGAACACGGAGGGCGGUAGGUCGGCGUAUGCGUUCGAGGUGUACAAGGCGGAUCUCCGGUCGUCAGGAUCACAAUGGGGCCAGGUGACUGCCCUGGGCGGCGACGAGGCGCUCUUUGUGGGCCGGCUGGGCUCAUGGGAUGUGCGGGCGGACCGGGAAGGAUUGGAGGGUUAUCAGAUCUCCUUCCUUGAUGAUAUGGUUGGCAUGUGGUUCUAG